ACAAUUCCGACGAAGAGGCAUAGUAAUUAAGGUAGCAGAUAGAAAGAGAGGAGAGGCCGUGGCUGAGAGCCCUCCAUAUUUGUCUUAAUGAAUGAACACCUCAGAGGAGUUUUUCUGAACAUCAUUGACUAGUAGGAAAAGACGUAUACAGGCGUUAACUGUACAAAAGUGGAAGCAGCGUUUUGCUUCAAUUUAGGGUGGCACCACGGGUUUAACUCUCGUCCCUGAU
rnacentral:ncRNA from 1 species